rnacentral:lncRNA from 1 species
GAAAAAUUCCUCUUUCCAUCCAGGGACCAGAUGGCAGAGAACUCGCAGAAGCCAUGGGUUAGGGGGCUUUGCUAAGUAAGAUGUUUACUGGAGUACAUUUCUCUCCUGAUAUCAGAGAUGCGGCUGCCCCAAGCACAUUUAGAAGGUGCACUCUUGGUACAAAAGUUAAGGUUUGUUCUCUUCCGCCUGCAAAACUACAGCCAGCAACUAGAGGUGAUACCUGAAUGUAUCCGGAUUGACGAUCUUCAUCCCUGGAAAACAUGACUCCCAGAAUCCAGCGGUGGGGGAGGGGGGGGUCGCAUGGCGGGAGAACAGCUCCUCCCAGUGUGCCUCAACACAGGGCAUCCAACACCCACUUGUCACUCCCAAGGCUGACUGAUGAAUAAUGUUCCCAAGUCUCGCUGCACGCCUUGGCGUUGGUCUUUUCUAACAUUUCAGAGUGUGCAUUUGCUAAAUUACUUCUAUGUGCA